rnacentral:rRNA from 1 species
GGUACGCACUACUGUCGGCCGGCUCGCGUGCCGGUUUUCCCGUCGUGGCCUUCGCCGGUCGCGGCGGGUGGCUGGCGAGUUUACUUUGAGAAAAUCAGAGUGCUCAACACAGGCGUCUAGCUUGAAUGAUUGUGCAUGGAAUAAUGGAAAAGGAUCACGGUCCUCUUUUAUUGGUUUUGUGGACUGAGAUAAUGGUUAACAGGGACAAACGGGGGCAUUCGUAUCGCUGCGUGAGAGGUGAAAUUCUUGGACCGUAGCGAGACGCCCGACUGCGAAAGCAUUUGCCAAGAAUGUCUUCAUUAAUCAAGAACGAAAGUCAGAGGUUCGAAGGCGAUCAGAUACCGCCCUAGUUCUGACCGUAAACGAUGCCAACUAGCGAUUCGCCGGUGGAUUUCACGCCCUGGUGAGUAGCUUCCCGGAAACGAAAGUCUUCCGGUUCCGGGGGAAGUAUGGUUGCAAAGCUGAAACUUAAAGGAAUUGACGGAAGGGCACCACCAGGAGUGGAGCCUGCGGCUUAAUUUGACUCAACACGGGGAAACUCACCCGGCCCGGACACCGUGAGGAUUGACAGAUUGAGAGCUCUUUCAUGAUUCGGUGGUUGGUGGUGCAUGGCCGUUCUUAGUUCGUGGAUCGAUUUGUCUGGUUUAUUCCGAUAACGAGCGAGACUCUAGCCUACUAAAUAGCCGCGAUAUUACUUUAACUGUGUCGCGCGCUUCUUAGAGGGAUUCGCGG